rnacentral:rRNA from 2 species
UAGAGUUUCUAUUCCUGGCUCAGGAAGAACGCCCGUCGGCUGCGCUAAUGCAUGCAAGUCGUACGCACUGGCCCAACUGAUUGAUGGUGCCACCUCCUGAUUGACGAUGGAUCACCAGUGAGUGGCGGACGGGUGAGUAACAUAGUAGGUAACCUGCCCCGGAGCGGGGGAUAACAUUUGGAAACAGAUGCUAAUACCGCAUAACAACAAAAGCCACAUGGCUUUUGUUUGAAAGAUGGCUUUGGCUAUCACUCUGGGAUGGACCUGCGGUGCAUUAGCUAGUUGGUAAGGUAACGGCUUACCAAGGCGAUGAUGCAUAGCCGAGUUGAGAGACUGAUCGGCCACAAUGGAAUUGAGCCACGGUCCUUACUCCUACGGGAGGCAGCAGUAGGGAAUCUUCCACAAUGGGCGCAAGCCUGAUGGAGCAACACCGCGUGAGUGAAGAAGGGUUUCGGCU